AAUUUAGUCCAACACUAUUUUCAACCACAUGUUUAAUUGAUUUCACAAAUUUAUUCACGAUUUAAUCCUACAAUUGAUGAGACUUUUCAAAAGGUUCUCUCAAAAAACAGGGGCUAUUAAAAAGCAGCGACUUCUCUUCUUAAUUCAUUGCUUCCUAAUUGCUAGAACCUAAGAAACUAUGGAGCCGUUUCAAGAAAACAGGGUGAAUCAGCCGUUGUUGGAGCCAAAAGAACCCGCACGGCAGGUGUCUGGGGAGUAUAUAAGUUCUGAGCUUGAGGAUAUACUAUCGAACACCAGCUUGUCGUGGUGGCGCCGCCUGCAAAAGGCCAUCUGGACCGAGAUGAAGACUCUCUACCUCCUUGCAGCUCCUGCGGUUAUAGUUUACUUGCUUAACAAUGUUACUUCAGUGUCCACUCAGAUUUUCUGUGGCCAUCUUGGCAAUCUUGAACUUGCUGCUGCAUCUCUCGGCAACAACGGUGUUCAACUUCUGGCCUAUGGAAUCAUGGUAACCCUCAAUCACUACUUGCCCCCCAAAAAGUAAAUAAUUAAUACUUAACUAAAUUAUUAUCUAUUAUAAUUCCCUGUCAUACCAAUUCUGCAAAUGAAGAUACUACUUUUGUGCUUGCCAUGAGCAGCUAGGAAUGGGAAGUGCAGUAGAAACGUUGUGUGGGCAGGCAUAUGGAGCUCACAGAUACGAAAUGCUUGGAAUAUACAUGCAAAGAUCAACAAUCCUCCUGAUUGCAACAGGGAUACCAUUGAUGAUAAUUUAUAUUUUCUGCAAGCCAAUUUUGCUCUUGCUAGGUGAAUCAAAAAGGCUUGCAUCUGCGGCAUCUGUGUUCAUCUAUGGCCUAAUCCCUCAGAUUUUCGCGUACGCUGCAAAUUUUCCUAUACAAAAGUUCUUGCAGGCACAAAGCAUAGUGAAUCCCAGUGCAUAUAUAGCAGCAGGUACACUGGUACUGCACUUGCUAUUGACAUGGCUGGUGGUGUAUGUGUUCGGAUGGGGAUUGCUCGGUGCGGCACUGGUGUUGAGUUUAUCGUGGUGGAUUAUAGUGGUGGUACAAUUUGUGUAUAUUUUAUGGACUGAGAAGUGCAAAGCUACAUGGACUGGAUUCAGUUGGAGGGCAUUUCAUGGGCUGUGGGAUUUUUUGAAGAUUUCAACUUCCUCUGCCGUUAUGCUCUGCCUCGAGACUUGGUACUUUCAGAUUUUAAUUCUUAUUGCUGGUUUGCUUCCCAAUCCUGAAAUUGUAUUGGACUCCUUGUCUGUUUGGUAAGGCUAAAUUUCUCCACUUUCUUGUCCAAUUCAAAAAUCAUUUCAUGUUCUGGAAAAUUAAAAUAAUUAGUUAAUUAAUUAAUAUGCAGUGUCACAGUCCUUGGUUGGGUAUUUAUGAUAUCUGUGGGUUUCAAUGCUGCUGCAAGGUAUUUAUGAUAUCCUUUAUUUUCCCUUUUCUCAUUUUUCAGUGGUUUGCUAAGUAUUGAAUUAAUUUUUGCUCUUAAUGAAUUAAAUUCAUUAUUUCCUAAUUAAUUUUAAUAUCCAGUGUAAGGGUUAGCAAUGAGCUUGGAGCUGGACAUCCCAAAUCAGCUGCAUUUUCUGUCGUGGUGGUGACAAUGAAUUCCUUCGUAUUAGCAGUAUUUUUUGCCGUUUUGUCAUAUUUGCUGCGUUAUCAAUUAAGUUAUAUCUUCACCGGCGGAGAAACAGUUUCAAAUGCAGUAGCAGACCUCACACCACUCAUGGCCAUCUCCAUUGUUCUUAAUGGCAUUCAACCUGUUUUGUCUGGUAAAAUAUAAAUUUCCUUUUCUCUCAGUUUUAUUUUGAUUUUCUAGAUGGCUUACUAUAAAGUUCUAUUAGUGUGUGUUUGGUUAUAGAAAGUCAUUUUUUCAAAACUUAUUUUUAAUCACACAUAUUUCUAUAAAAAUAAUGGGAAUCAAACGGGGGCUAAAUAAAUGUUACCACUUGUUAGUUGUUUCGACUCGUCUGUAUGAGAGGUUUUAAAGUGAGAAGUUAGACACUAGAAAUGGUUAUAUAUCUAUGAAUGAUUACAAGGGGAAAAUAAUGGAUAAGACAAGGAGGAGAGGAUAACAAAAUGGAAAAUUCUGCUCAAACAUGGGCCUUGGAUAGGCCCCUGUGGUAGGGGUUGAGAUGUCAGCCCCUCAUCUGAAUUUCAGGUCAAUGUAGUGCUUCUCUAACAAACUUGAAGUAGACUGUGUACAGUAGGGGGGGUCACAGCCACGGGGAGGAGUGAUUUUUAUUUUUUGUUUUUAAUUUUUUGCAAUAAAAUAUUGACAUGGGCCCACUCCAUGUGAGAGGCCUUGUCUGUACACAAGGAAUUAAUGAGCAAAAUACAGAAAUAAUAAUUAUGACAGAUGAAAGAAAAUAUGUGGAGAUUCCUAGAAGCAAAAGGAAAGGAAGAAAAGACAAGAAGAAGAGGGUAACAAAAUCUGAACACAAUAAUUAUAAGACUCUGGACGUACUCCAUUCAAGUGUGUGGUAAUGAAGCGUGCCAUCAAGGUAUAUGAAAUAUAUUUUUCAAUAUGUUACUCUCUGCUUCACGUCUCUUUAGAAGGGGGUAACUUUAUUUUGUUGCACUUCUGGUUGGAAGUCAAAUUGUGUUUACCUUCUCAGUCUGUAUUUUAUUUUAUCUUCAUUUUUAAUAAAACAUACCAUCUUUACUAGUUUAAUUAAUAAACGAAAGGAAUAAAAUUUGCAGCUUUUUCUUCUAACAAUUUGUUAAAAGAGUAACGUUUAGGCAUAGUUGAACGAAAUUCAUUUCAUUUUUAUGUACAAGUCAAAUUUCAUGCUCCUUCUACAUGAGAGAAUCUUCAGUAGCGUGGUGCGAUCGUCCUAUUAAUGUGCGUUACCUAGACAGAUGACCCACCACCAUCGAGAUGGCGCCUCGACAUUGGGCGGGCGUGCUAUCCCAUGCCCCUUUUGCACACGAGAAUUUUUAGUAGGGCGGUCCCACCACUAAGGUGUGCCACCUCGACGAAUGCCCCCCCACCCCCCAACCCUGAGGUGUGUGGACCCUAGCUGAGGUGGGGCCUCGGCAUUGGGCGGGGUGCGCCCACCCCACUGAAAAUUCUUCCCUUUUACACAGGUGCUAAUACUUAAGACACUUAAUCAAUUAUUAUCCUUUCUUCAUGAGUUACAUAUAUAUAAAAUGGAAUUUGUCUGUAUGUAGUACCUGGAUACACGGGAUAAUUGAUGAAACAUGUUUUAUUUUUGUAUGUUGGAAUUGACAAUACAAAGGUGUGGCCGUUGGAUGUGGAUGGCAAACAUUUGUUGCGUACGUUAACGUUGCUUGUUACUAUGUGAUUGGCAUUCCAUUGGGUUCAGUUCUUGGAUUUAAAUUCAACCUCGGAGCAAAGGUACUUCAAUGCUUUUCUUUUUACAUUAAUCUAGAAAGUUUUCAAGGCAGAAACAAACUUUCAUUAAGACAAGUCAUUUUGAACAUGUGUGCCAAAUAAAAUACGAGAUUCAAUCGACCUAAUUUCAAGCAAUUGGAGUAGUGGCAACGAAGGAAGCAAGCGAGAGGACUACUCCAUUCUUAUGUAUAGGCUUAAAAUAACAAGAUCUAUAGAGUUAAACAAUUUAUUUCCCUAUUUCUUGUUUGUUAGCUUAUUUUAUAUUUUGCGUCAUUAUACAUAUUGGGAUUCUAUGCUCAUUUUUUAUUCAUCGUGAUGUACGCAGACAAGGUUUAGUCUACAACAUAAUUGAAAAGCUCGUCUCCGACUGUAUAUAGUUUUUGCAG
rnacentral:lncRNA from 1 species